AGAGUUUGAUCCUGGCUCAGAAUCAACGCUGGCGGCGUGCCUAACACAUGCAAGUCGAACGCGAAAGGGGAGCAAUCCCUGAGUAGAGUGGCAAACGGGUGAGUAACACGUGGGUGACCUGCCUUCGAGUGGGGGAUAACGUCCCGAAAGGGACGCUAAUACCGCAUGACAUCCUGCUUUUGGAAAAGCGGAGAUCAAAGCUGGGGAUCGCAAGACCUGGCGCUUGAAGAGGGGCCCGCGCCUGAUUAGCUAGUUGGUGGGGUAAUGGCCUACCAAGGCGACGAUCAGUAUCCGGCCUGAGAGGGCGGACGGACACACUGGGACUGAGACACGGCCCAGACUCCUACGGGAGGCAGCCGUGGGGAAUUGUUCGCAAUGGGCGCAAGCCUGACGACGCAACGCCGCGUGGAGGAUGAAGACCUUCGGGUCGUAAACUCCUUUCGACCGAGAAGAAUGGCCCACGACCUCAUACGUCGUGGGCAUGACGGUAUCGAGGGAAGAAGCCCCGGCUAACUCUGUGCCAGCAGCCGCGGUAAUACAGGGGGGGCAAGCGUUGUUCGGAAUUACUGGGCGUAAAGGGUCUGUAGGUGGCCAACUAAGUCGGACGUGAAAUCCCUCANCUUAACUGGGGAACUGCGUCUGAUACUGGAUGGCUCGAGUGUGGGAGAGGAAUGCGGAAUUCCAGGUGUAGCGGUGAG
rnacentral:rRNA from 1 species